rnacentral:rRNA from 1 species
UACGAAGGGGGCUAGCGUUGCUCGGAAUUACUGGGCGUAAAGGGUGCGUAGGCGGGUCUUUUAAGUCAGAGGUGAAAUCCUGGAGCUCAACUCCAGAACUGCCUUUGAUACUGAGGAUCUUGAGUUCGGGAGAGGUGAGUGGAACUGCGAGUGUAGAGGUGAAAUUCGUAGAUAUUCGCAAGAACACCAGUGGCGAAGGCGGCUCACUGGCCCGAUACUGACGCUGAGGC